UGAUGCUCAGUGGUCUGGGUGCAGGCUUCAAACCUGUAGCUGUCUAGCGACAGAGUGGUUCAAUUUUACUUAG